rfam:Sphingomonas sp. Leaf33 contig_1, whole genome shotgun sequence.
CCGGGCCUGACAUGCGGACGCCCGGUCAGACGGCCUGCCGUCCAAGUUCCGC